AUUGAACGCUGGCGGCAUGCUUUACACAUGCAAGUCGAACGGCAGCACAGGGAGCUUGCUCCCGGGUGGCGAGUGGCGCACGGGUGAGUAAUACAUCGGAACGUGUCCUGUUGUGGGGGAUAACUGCUCGAAAGGGUGGCUAAUACCGCAUGAGACCUGAGGGUGAAAGCGGGGGAUCGCAAGACCUCGCGCAAUUGGAGCGGCCGAUGCCCGAUUAGCUAGUUGGUGAGGUAAAGGCUCACCAAGGCGACGAUCGGUAGCUGGUCUGAGAGGACGACCAGCCACACUGGGGACUGAGACACGGCCCAGACUCCUACGGGAGGCAGCAGUGGGGAAUUUUGGACAAUGGGGGCAACCCUGAUCCAGCCAUGCCGCGUGCAGGAUGAAGGCCUUCGGGUUGUAAACUGCUUUUGUCAGGGGAAAAGGACCGUGUAAUACCAUGGUCUGCUGACGGUACCUGAAGAAUAAGCACCGGCUAACUACGUGCC
rnacentral:rRNA from 1 species